CCUACGGGCGGCUGCAGUAGGGAAUAUUGCUCAAUGGGGGAAACCCUGAAGCAGCAACGCCGCGUGGAGGAUGAAGGUUUUCGGAUUGUACACUCCUUUUGUUAGAGAAGAUAAUGACGGUAUCUAACGAAUAAGCACCGGCUAACUCCGUGCCAGCAGCCGCGGUAAUACGGAGGGUGCAAGCGUUACUCGGAAUCACUGGGCGGAAAGAGCGCGUAGGCGGGAUAGCAAGUCAGAUGUGAAAUCCUAUGGCUUAACCAUAGAACUGCAUUUGAAACUGUUAUUCUAGAGUAUGGGAGAGGUAGGUGGAAUUCUUGGUGUAGGGGUAAAAUCCGUAGAGAUCAAGAGGAAUACUCAUUGCGAAGGCGACCUGCUAGAUCAUAACUGACGCUGAUGCGCGAAAGCGUGGGGAGCAAACAGGAUUAAAUACCCCAGUAGUC
rnacentral:rRNA from 1 species